AUUGAACGCUGGCGGCAGGCUUAACACAUGCAAGUCGAGCGGGGAAAGGUAGCUUGCUACCUUACCUAGCGGCGGACGGGUGAGUAAUGCCUAGGAAUCUGCCUGGUAGUGGGGGACAACGUCUCGAAAGGGACGCUAAUACCGCAUACGUCCUACGGGAGAAAGCAGGGGACCUUCGGGCCUUGCGCUAUCAGAUGAGCCUAGGUCGGAUUAGCUAGUUGGUGAGGUAAUGGCUCACCAAGGCGACGAUCCGUAACUGGUCUGAGAGGAUGAUCAGUCACACUGGAACUGAGACACGGUCCAGACUCCUACGGGAGGCAGCAGUGGGGAAUUUUGGACAAUGGGCGAAAGCCUGAUCCAGCAAUGCCGCGUGAGCGAAGAAGGCCUUCGGGUUGUAAAGCUCUUUUGUCAGGGAAGAAACGGUGAGAGCUAAUAUCUCUUGCUAAUGACGGUACCUGAAGAAUAAGCACCGGCUAACUACGUGCCAGCAGCCGCGGUAAUACGUAGGGUGCAAGCGUUAAUCGGAUUUACUGGGCGUAAAGCGUGCGUAGGUGGCCAAUUAAGUCAAAUGUGAAAUCCCCGAGCUUAACUUGGGAAUUGCAUUCGAUACUGGUUGGCUAGAGUAUGGGAGAGGAUGGUAGAAUUCCAGGU
rnacentral:rRNA from 1 species